AGCCAUGUGGUGAAUACAGAGCGAACUAUUCUUUCGCCUUUUACUAAAGAAUACCGUGUGUUCGUCACGCUAAUAGUGGCAUAAUCUAAUUUUUGUUGGGUUUAACUCUUUUUGAGAG
rfam:Zostera marina strain Finnish scaffold_81, whole genome shotgun sequence.